AAAGUGGAAUGAAGCCAAGGAUGACUUGCCGGCAUUAAUUUGCUAUGAAGCUAGAGAGUAUAGCUAUUAGCUAGCUUCAUUUGCUGAGUUUUCCGGCAGGUUAUCCUGUGGCUACAUUUGGCUUUCU
rfam:Glycine max cultivar Williams 82 chromosome 9, whole genome shotgun sequence.